rnacentral:rRNA from 1 species
CCUACGGGAGGCAGCAGUGGGGGAUAUUGCACAAUGGGGGAAACUCUGAUGCAGCGACGCCGCGUGUGGGAAGACGGUCCUCUGGAUUGUAAACCACUGUCCCCAGGGACGAAGAUGACGGUACCUGGGCAGGAAGCUCCGGCUAACUACGUGCCAGCAGCCGCGGUAAUACGUAGGGAGCGGGCGUUGUCCGGAAGUACUGGGUGUAAAGGGAGCGUAGGCGGGGAUGCAAGUUGGGUGUCAAAACUACCGGCUCAACUGGUAGUCGCACGCAAAACUGGAGCUCUUGAGUGAAGUAGAGGCAGGCGGAAUUCCUAGUGUAGCGGUGAAAUGCGUAGAUAUUAGGAGGAACACCAGUGGCGAAGGCGGCCUGCUGGGCUUUUACUGACGCUGAGGCUCGAAAGUGUGGGGAGCAAACAGGAUUAGAUACCCCGGUAGUC